CGUCAGGGGCUGUGGAGUGACGGCAGGUGAAUCCCGCCAGGCCUUAAUCGGAGCAACGGUAGCUUGUCCGUUAUUGCCGCAGUCCCCUGGCACUU
rnacentral:SRP_RNA from 1 species